GAAGGUGGGGGCGCCGGCGGCGACGCCGCUCUGUCUUCGCCGCUCUCUGGGAAGAGAGAAAAAAAAGAACGAGAGAAAAAAGAGAAAAGAAAAAGGUAUAAGGGCACCUCCGCUCCGUCUUCGCCGCUCUCUCGGAAGAAAAAGAAAAAAGAACGAGAGAAAAAAAGAGGAGAGAGAAAGAGGAAAGAGAAAAAGGUAUAAGGGUAUUUUGGUCAGUUUGCUGAAAAAGCGG
rnacentral:lncRNA from 1 species